UGUUUGCACUUAGCGGGAAGGGUAAGAACCUUCGACUAAGGUUCGACUCGAGCGCCAGCGAGAGAACGUUGCCACAGGC
rnacentral:sRNA from 1 species